rnacentral:lncRNA from 1 species
CAACUGCCACCACCGGCUUCCCACAAGCCUCUCAACCUCCCCCACUCCUCCUGCUCUUGAGGCCGAUUGGCUGGGUCCCGUGGGCGGAGCCAAAAAAAGUCCCCCAAUGUGCAGCUCCCUAGUCUGAAAGGGCGGGGAAACAGCCCAAUGAGCAUCACUGCAGAGGAGCCAAUCAGCUAGAAGUUGCUGGGGCCGCUGUGAGCCAAUCAUCAGCUGGCAGUCUGAAAGUUUGCUGGGGCCCCUUCGGAGUGGCUCUCAACAAUGGUGUAUUGAUUAUCACAGUCCAACAAAUUAACACAUUUAUCACAACCAUAAUUAUCAUUUGUAUGUAUUUGUGUAUGGUUAAGGCACUUAAAAUAUCUGUUACCAAAUUCCAAUCUAUAAAAAUUACAGUAUUAUUAACUAUAGUCACCAAGCUAUACCUUAGACCCCUGGAAAUCAUUUAUCUUCUAAAUGAGUUGAUAUACCUUGUAACCAACAUCUCCUUAUUUUCCCCACUCCCCAGCCCCUGCUAACUACCAUUAUAUUCUCU